AGGGAAUGACUGUAGUUCAGUUGUAGAGCAUAUGCUUUGCAUGCAGAAGGUCCCGGGUUCAAUCCUCAGCAGCUCUA